AUGGUUGACCUCGGAUCAGGUAGGGAUACCC
rnacentral:rRNA from 21 species